rnacentral:misc_RNA from 1 species
GAGUCCAUUUGACAUGAACACUUUCUGUGACUCUCUUGGUGGAAACAUCAAUCUCACUUCCUGUGGAGGGCAUUUUCAAAUGAUUUUCCUGGUUCCCUUGUUCAGAAUCCUUCAUUGGCUUGCUGUCACGAUGUUUCAUCCCGGCAUCCUCAGAAAUUACUUCCUCUGAAUGGGUGAAGCCCUGGUAAAUUGCUGCAUUGUCACGUUCAUGGAACUGGC